rnacentral:lncRNA from 1 species
ACCUUGUCCAGUUAAACACAAGAAUAAAAUCACUAUAGAUCUAUUAUUUCUCGGAACAGAAUAUCUCCAUUUGCAUAAAGUAUUUUUCCUUUGACAAGGUGCCAGGAAGAAGCACCUCUUGCCCAUCGCUCAUGGUGCUCUUUCCAUGGCAUUAAGAGCAGAAGAAAUUACCAUGGUGGCCUUAAAACUAUUAUUUUCUCCCCCAGCACCCUUCAGCCCCUCCUGCUUUGCAGUAACUUGACUCUCUGAGAACUCAGUCAUUGAAAUACCCAGGAUAAUGGACAAAGGGGAUCUCCUACAUGAUGUAAUUUCACACCCAGAAGACCUCUUCACAGAAAUAAAAUGCUCUCCCCAUUCUUUCAAGGUCCUUGGGAGAACAUUCCCUUUUGCUUCUCCUCACUAGAGGCCAAUUGCACACUCUAAUAUAACCUUGCAGCAGAGCACACCCUGCCCCAAGGAGCCUCUGAUGCAAACCCAGCUGUAGAAGGAAGUGGUCUUCUCCCCUGUGUGCUCCUUGAGAGACAACACCAGGCAUGUGAUUGCACUCUGUAAUUCAUUCACUCAGCACAUGACACAUGCAACAGAAAUUUGUUGAAUCAAUGAAUAAUGCACUCUCAGAGCCCCU